UGCCAUGGGUCCCGUCCAGGGCUUACCUGACUACAACUGGUUCAGGCGCAGGACCUACUGGCUUCGUUACUAGUUUUUCUUCGGUACAAAUCAUUUUUAAUUAUUUGUUUUCUUUCUUUUGGCUGAAUCGAAGGUCCAGUUUACCUGAAAAAAUGUAGGGCUGACUCAUUUUGUUCAAUAACUUAGCCCGUUAGCUUUUGCUUUAUUUAACACUCAAAUCGGUGAAAAUAAUCGAGCUGUUGUGUUCAGUGAUUUUGGUAAAAUAUAUGUGGAAUGGACCGAUUUUUUAAUAUGAUGGCACCCCUCGACAUAAUGAAGGUGAGUACGAUUCAUUGUUAAUAGUUAUCUUUUUCCCUCAUGUCCGGUUUUUGUGCAACGAAAGUACUUCUUUGUUACAUAUUGCCAGAAUCUAAGGAUACUAGACAAUGAACUGUAGUGGCAUCUCCAAUGGGCACCCCUUUGCACCAAAACUUAGUGCAAAUGUCCCUCCAACUGUUGCACCAUUUUGGUGCAACACUGUUCAUUUUGCAUCAAAUGGUGUAAUGUCUAUUUUUCCUCUCUUUUAUUUUUCAAAGAUAAUGUAAAAUCGUCUUUGAGUGCACCACAUGUCCGUUUUGCCCUUCUCUUUUAUUUUUCAAAGAUAAUGUAAAAGCCUUUGAG
rnacentral:lncRNA from 1 species